rnacentral:rRNA from 1 species
GAUGAACGCUGGCGGCGUGCCUAAUACAUGCAAGUCGAGCGAACAGACGAGGAGCUUGCUCCUCUGACGUUAGCGGCGGACGGGUGAGUAACACGUGGAUAACCUACCUAUAAGACUGGGAUAACUUCGGGAAACCGGAGCUAAUACCGGAUAAUAUAUUGAACCGCAUGGUUCAAUAGUGAAAGACGGUUUUGCUGUCACUUAUAGAUGGAUCCGCGCCGCAUUAGCUAGUUGGUAAGGUAACGGCUUACCAAGGCAACGAUGCGUAGCCGACCUGAGAGGGUGAUCGGCCACACGGGAACUGAGACACGGUCCAGACUCCUACGGGAGGCAGCAGUAGGGAAUGUUCCGCAAUGGGCGAAAGCCUGACGGAGCAACGCCGCGUGAGUGAUGAAGGUCUUCGGAUCGUAAAACUCUGUUAUGAGGGAAGAACAAAUGUGUAAGUAACUAUGCACGUCUUGACGGUACCUAAUCAGAAAGCCACGGCUAACUACGUG